rnacentral:rRNA from 1 species
CCUACGGGUGGCAGCAGUAGGGAAUCUUUCACAAUGGGCGAAAGCCUGAUGGAGCAACGCCGCGUGCAGGAUGAAGGCCUUCGGGUUGUAAACUGCUUUUAUAAGCGAGAAAUAUGAUGGUAACUUAUGAAUAAGGAUCGGCUAACUACGUGCCAGCAGCCGAGGUCAUACGUAGGAUCCGAGCAUUAUCCGGAGUGACUGGGUGUAAAGAGUUGCGUAGGUGGCAUAAUAAGUAGCUAGUGAAAUCUGGUGGCUCAACCAUUCAGACUAUUAGCUAAACUGUUAAGCUCGAGACCGUUAGGGGUAACUGGAAUUACUAGUGUAGGAGUGAAAUCCGUAGAUAUUAGAAGGAACACCAAUAGCGUAGGCAGGUUGCUGGGACGGUUCUGACACUAAGGCACGAAAGCGUAGGGAGCAAACGGGAUUAGAUACCCGAGUAGUC